rnacentral:rRNA from 1 species
AAUAGAUACCCCGGUAGUCCAUGCCGUAAACGAUGUCUACUAGCCGUUGGGGCCUUUGAGGCUUUAGUGGCGCAGCUAACGCGAUAAGUAGACCGCCUGGGGAGUACGGUCGCAAGACUAAAACUCAAAUGAAUUGACGGGGGCCCGCACAAGCGGUGGAGCAUGUGGUUUAAUUCGAUGCAACGCGAAGAACCUUACCUGGUCUUGACAUACAGAGAACUUUCCAGAGAUGGAUUGGUGCCUUCGGGAACUCUGAUACAGGUGCUGCAUGGCUGUCGUCAGCUCGUGUCGUGAGAUGUUGGGUUAAGUCCCGCAACGAGCGCAACCCUUUUCCUUAUUUGCCAGCGGGUUAAGCCGGGAACUUUAAGGAUACUGCCAGUGACAAACUGGAGGAAGGCGGGGACGACGUCAAGUCAUCAUGGCCCUUACGACCAGGGCUACACACGUGCUACAAUGGUCGGUACAAAGGGUUGCUACCUAGCGAUAGGAUGCUAAUCUCAAAAAGCCGAUCGUAGUCCGGAUUGGAGU